rnacentral:rRNA from 1 species
AGUGAACGCUGGCGGUAGGCCUAACACAUGCAAGUCGAACGGCAGCACAGUAAGAGCUUGCUCUUACGGGUGGCGAGUGGCGGACGGGUGAGGCAUACAUCGGAAUCUACUUUUUCGUGGGGGAUAACGUAGGGAAACUUACGCUAAUACCGCAUACGACCUACGGGUGAAAGCAGGGGAUCUUCGGACCUUUCGCGAUUGAAUGAGCCGAUGUCGCAUUAGCUAGUUGGCUGGGUAACGGCCCACCAAGGCGACGAUCCGUAGCUGGUCUGAGAGGAUGAUCAGCCACACUGGAACUGAGACACGGUCCAGACUCCUACGGGAGGCAGCAGUGGGGAAUAUUGGACAAUGGGCGAAAGCCUGAUCCAGCCAUACCGCGUGGGUGAAGAAGGCCUUCGGGUUGUAAAGCCCUGUUGUUGGGAAAGAAAAGCAGCAGGUUAAUACCCCGCUGUUCUGACGGUACCCAAAGAAUAAGCACCGGCUAACUUCGUG